CUUGUUUCCUUGGUACCUAGUUAGCUUUUACUUUCUAUUGUGAUGGCACUCAUGAAAUUAUUUGAAGACCUGGAAUAUGGAUACAGCCUUACUCUAGAGGAUUUGCAUUUUCUUCUGCUGGGCACCAGGGGGCACUACCAAUCUAGGAGCACCACAAACCAAGAAUUAGUACAGGGGACUUCCAAUUCAACAUGGUUGAUUAAAUGCUGUUUCUUAAACUUCAUGACCUUCCCAAAGCGUAAAGGAAUAAAAAUCUUUAAAACUUCAAGGAGGAGACUCAGAGAAAAGACAACAGCAGACAAGAGAGGUCAACAAUUUUUUUGAAAAUGAAAGUAAAUGGAGAAGAGCUAACCGACUAAGAAGAUCAGAGGAAACUAAGACUGUGUGCCUACAGAAGGAGAGUGAGGAGAAAGAAGCCAGUUUUCCUUGCAGAACACUGGAAAGUGCCAAGUGUAACAAAAGGCAGGAGCCAUAAGGGCUUAUAAGCAGAGAGAUGUCUGAAAGUUUAUAUAAAAACAGUUGGGCAUUUAAGUAAAUCCUGACCACUUCUCUAGCAUCCAGACCUCUCAAACACUAACCUCCACCCAGACAGUCAGCCAUUCUCAGCUCCCAUUCUCCAAAGACUUGGAACCAGAGAGUUUCAGGGCCAGGCACACAAGUCUCAGAGGGAGUGAGGGGCUGAUUUGUAAACAAAGGAAGUAACUGUUGGGUGACUCAGGCUUUAAGGUUCUCCAGACACAAUUCUGGCUCUUGAUUGGAUCACCCCAGAGCGGGAAUUCCUGGAGGAGUGGUGAGUUGGAAAUUUGUAGGUUGUUGAAACAAUUGGAAGAACACUACUGGCAUUUAAUGGGUUAGAGUCUCAGAUUCCAGACAUCCUCCUAUGUAUGAAACUCCCUCCCAGUGAAGAAUUAUCCCACAUCCCUAAAGACUUUCGGAUAUUACAGCAGACAAUCACGUAGGGAAAAGAAAAAAUGUUUAAAGCUAUGUGAAUCUAGGACCUAACUGCAUUUUGCAUAUAAACAAUACACUUUUUUGCAUAUAGACACAAUGUAUUUUGGCAUGGCCUUAACAUAGACCGAAUUUUUCAAGGACGCAAUUGUAAAUUGAAGCAAGAUGGCAUAUUGUUUGGUUUGGAGUUUAACCAAGAGUUUUUCACUAUUUCGUAAAAUCACAUCACCAAGAACAUUAAUGCUCAUGGUAUUUAAGAUGUCAAUACUGCUCACCAACACAAUUGUAUCAGGCUGUAUGUAAAGCUGUCACCUUUAGAGAUUCUACAAGUAUGUGCAAGCAGUCAACUACCUCAUUACGUCCACAGGGAAGUGUAGGGUAGCCAUGCCUGAUGGUUUACACGCUGAAAUAUACAUUAUUUUAUUAUGAAUUACUUUUCGCUAUUUCCUUUUUACGUUAUAGUUAUGACAUCACAUUGUUAUUGGUGAAAUUAUAUGUGUUGAUAGGUAAAGUUAUACUAACUAUGCUUUCCAUGUCAGGGUAGUAAAAGCAGAUUUAUAAAAUAUUUGCUUUAAAAAAAAAAGAGGUCAUUGUAUCUAAUAGGGUUGAGAGCCACUGCCCUAGGAUGAACUUAACUAGUUGACAAAUCUUUCCCCAAACACGGUGUCCAAACAGGAUUUCAGUAGUUUACCCUUAAAUGUGAACUCUCGACUGACUGUUAUCAGAUGUUUGAAAAAAGCCUCUAGCGUAAAACAAGAGAGACCAAAACAAAAAAAAAAAAAAAAGGAGAGCUGCAAAAGAAAAUCUAGAGGGAAAAAAAACAAAGGAAACAAGGUAACUUUAAAAUAAUUCUUAGGGUAUGUGUGCAUGCACACAUGAGUGUGUUUGUACAUACAGCAGCAGUUCUUAAACCAUGUGAUCUGGAGUUCCCAGGGAGUCCCCAAGGCCUUUUCAGGAGGUCUGUAAGGUCAAAACUCUUUUCAUAAUAAUAGUAAGACAUUAUUUUCCUUAUUCGCUCUCAUAUUCUCAUGAGUGUAAAGUUUUUCAGAGGUUACACAAUAUGUAAUAUCACAACAUAUUGCAUAUAGAAGUAGCUAUGAGAAUCCAGCUAUCUUAUAUUUAGCUGGAUAUUAAAGAGAUUUGCAAAUAUAUAUAUAUACUAUUCUCACUGUAUUAUUUUUAUUUUAGAAAAUACAGUUGUGCUUUAUAAAUAAUAUUUGUGUUAACAUGUAUUGUUUAUUAUUGAUAUUUUUGAAUAAAUAAAUAUUUUAAAUACU